ensembl:lncRNA
GUUCCUGCCCUUGAACAUCUGAUAAUGUGAUGGAAAACACAGAGAAGGAAAAAGACAAUUCAAAGUGUAGGCUUAAGGCCAGGUCACAGACGUGUUUGGUCAAGCCAAGCCCUACCUCAGAUGGGUGGGCAACAUUGGUCAGCCACCCUGGAAAUAUCCCAGUGCCUGAAUGUUGAAGUAUGAGUUAGUCAAGCAGAGAAAGAGAACUGGAAAAAAUAGAGAGAACAAAACCCAACAGCAAGUGAGAACAUGGACUGUCUGAGGAGCUUCUUCUCCGGUAGAAGAAAGCAAAACGGUGCAAAGCUGGGAAGACCACGGGGAGGAUCAGAGGACAGACGGAUCCCGAAGGAAGGAGGCUGCCCGAGACCGUCCUUCCCCAAAAUGGACAGGAGCAGAGGAGGGGCUUCCGGAUCUGAGGCCGGCCCUCCUACUCCUGCUGCAGGACACACCCAGGGGGUCUGCUCAAAGUCAAAACACCUACUGCGGUCCUGUCUUCUCGAUCACCUCUCAGGGGAUGGUGGUUGCUCUGCACACUGUGCUCAAGGCUGGAAGGAAGGCAGGCUAAGUGAGCUCGUUCUAGAGGAUGGGAAGAAAGCACUUCACAGAGCACACUGAAGGCCCAGCCACCACUGCACCCAUCCAAGGGGCUUCUGUAUCCUCAAACACUGUCCCCCAAUGGCCACCAGGGCCCAGUCCGGUCCCAGGCCCCAUGGAAGCCAGUGGGAUGGGUGUGAUCUGGGCCCUGUGGCUGGGGGUAGUGACAGAGCCUAUCCACCCCUGCAGACCCCAAAUGCCAGGGGACCCAGCUGCUGACCUUUAGACAUUAUGACAGGGCUGGUGUUGACUUUUGCAUCGGCACCUGCAGCCAGCCCGGAGCCUGGUGCGAUGGGUCAUCCUUCUGACAGUGCCUCAGAGGCACCGAGAGACACAAAACAGAGGGGGACACUGCAGAACGAUGGGGUCACCGCAGAGCAGGGCUGCCACCUGUGUGGGCAGAACCCAGUGACAUGGAAUUUCCCUGCUGGUCUGGACGGGGUUUCGUGGGCUUUUCAAUCUUGCUCUCUUUGAUCUUAAGACAGUGUUAUUACUGAUGUACCCAGUGUCCUGUUACACUCUAGCAGGGGUUGCAUUUCAGCAGUGGAUCACAGAGGUUUCUUAUGUGUGAAUUGGGCCUAUACAUCCUCCUGAGAUGCUCAUUCCUACCUCUGUAAUGUGGCCAUCGAGUCUGAUCAAUGUAUGCAGGGUUAAAAGGCUGAUUUCUUAGGAUGCCAAGAGAAUCCAGCAGUAAGAGGCUGUUUAGAGAAUCAUGAAUCAAUAUAGAAAAAUUAAUCAAUUGAAUCUGUUUUUUUCUCUCAUUAAUCUAUCUUUUGCCAAUAUAAUUCACAGGGCCACCAGAUACCGAAUGUAGGAGGGUAGAGAAAAUAUUUUUCCUACCCUGUGGUAUCAUUAAUAACGUAAGAGAUACUGCAAUUAAGGCUUGGCCCACUCUGAACCAAUGCUCCCAAUCUACAAUCUCAAACCUAUUUUUCUCCUCCUGACCUAUAGAAGAUAAAAACCAAAGACACUUAGGAAGGUAACACUAAAGAUACCCUUAUCCAGUUGGGUAGAAUAGCUGGAAAUGUCCAUUUAAGAGUAAAAUGACCCAUAACUAAAGGUGAAUUAUCACUAGUUUUAAAAUUUUUGCUAGAUGUUGAAAUAAAUGAAUAAAAAGCAUGGGGCUUAAAGUCUAA